CAAAACAUUGAGCUUAAUACAAGGCUACUUCCCUGUUCUGGUAAUUCAACUUUGAGACAUCAAGACACAGGUGGGGGAGAUGACUGGGUAGAAGGUAUUUCUCUAUUCAUUUUUCUCCCAGCUUCAAAAG